CCCCCUUUUGACAUCAUCGAAAAGCUGAUCCAUCAAGUAAAAAUUGUUUAAUAAUUCAUGGCCACUGGGGCUAUCACUAAAACAAGCAAGAUUCAGAGCAAGAGAUAACUAUGCAUUGAAUUAAGCAGAAGUAGAUCAAGUGAAGCAAAAGAGGUCCAUUUUAAACAAAACAGAUACAAUUAUUGCUACCCAGUAAAACAAAAAGAGAAACAAGGUAAACAGGAG
rnacentral:lncRNA from 1 species